CUAAUACGUCCGAUGACGCGUCGAAAUUACUGUUUGUUUGCGCGACUCUACCUGCGCACCUCUUAUUACCGAUCGAGAUUUAAACAGGUAUAUCUUCGAUCGGAAAUCAAACAAGCUGCAGUUACCGCGCGCAAAUAAGCGCGAUAUAGACAGCUGUAUGAGAUAUAAAGCGAAUGCAAACUAAAGUAGGGCGCGACAAUGCGGCAUAACGAUCAGAGGUAAAUAUAUUGCGAAACGAGUGAUCGGUAUUAUGAGAAAAAAACAAUCAAGUCAGGAAUUACAAUGUAUAUAAAUGGUCGCGUAAUGGCGCUUUUCGAGAGCUAAUCAUACGAAAAUACACCGGUUUCUCGGAACGAGAUCUGUUUACAAUAUCUCGACGCCGUUAAGGAGAAAAAAAUCUGUCAUUGAAAUUCAACAAACUAGGUGUUAACCUACAUCCGACGAUAAAUCCUUGAACUGUGCGAGAAGCAUCACUCGAUGUUGCAUCUUAUCUCCGAUGUAAUAGCUUCUCUUUUUUCCACACUUUUCAAGCGUGAUCUCGCGGUUUUACAGGUUUCUCGACCUCCAGUCGCGUCGACAAUAAGCGAUUAUAAAUCUUCGCAAAACGGGUCGCAAAAGACGAGCAUAACGAAUCACGGUUCGGAGAAGAAAAAAAAAGGUAUAAGUGAUUCCCCGCGAGACAUACCUACGCAUAAUCAGGGUACUCCCCCAAACGGCUCGAGAUGAGCGAGAGAAACGGUACCGCACGUCGCCUGACUCGCAAAUGAAGCUCGACCCAGUAUACACGCACAUGCGCACGUGCUUCUCUCCGUACACGUACGUGCAUGUAUAGUAUGUUGUACGAAAAGAAAAAGGAAGCACAGAGCUCGCUGCGUCACAUAUUUCACACCUCUCGUUAGACGCCAACGCGUAACGAUUUAUCAUCCGUCACCCGGAGCUCCGUGACAAACAACUGACGCGAAUCACGAGUCCUCUGCAUCCUCUGCUCGUUCGAUGAUGCGGAUUUCGCUUUUUUUCUUUCUCCAAACUGCCCACGACGACUAUUCGGCGUAAACUAUCACACGCACUUUAUUCUUGUUUUUACUCAAUCGGAUGUAAUCGUGAUUUAUGUCUGUCGGAAACGCGCGUUAAAAGAGUGGGAGGAUUUAUGGCAGUCGCGGGGAAUCCCAAAAUGCAAUUGUGUAUGCUUUAUUGUACAGCCGAUCUCUGUAAUUGAUGGACAACACAGCAUAGUGUAAUCGCUGCAUCGGAUCAAUCAAUUCACACGGCUAAUUGAAAGCCCCUGCUGUACACGUUGAAACUUUUAUUGUGUCAGUGUAAGCGCAGUGUGCGCGGCUUUAUUCGAAUUCAAUCCAAGGCCGCUCAAUUAUCUACGGUCCACGACUGGAGAUAAUCGAAGCGUUAUACUUCGGUCCCGUAACCCAAUUGCACAAACGAGAGCUUUUCAAGAAGCUAUAGUGAGAGAGAAAAAAUCAGCGAGUAAUUUGGAAAGUCCAGCAGCCUACUCUGCCGUUGCCGAGAGGAAAUUUCAUCAGAUCGAGCAUAUAUACGGCCGCAGGCUCGAAACGGCUGCAACUAUAUACACUGCAUUAUGGCAAUUUACGCAAUCUACAAUAAGUUGAAAAUUGGUCCUACUGCACAGGGCGAAUUCAAUGUCACGACUCCGACGUACGUAUACGUAUAUGUGAUGCUGCGGAUACCUCUUUCGCAAUUCUCCGUUGAAGGAAUUGGACAAUUUGGCGUUUUAAAUAAUAAUAAGCGCGAUAUGAUGCAGGGGGUUAUGCGCUGUUAUUGAGUAUAUGGAAGAUUUCGAAUUAUGCCGCGCGGGCGAAGCGAGACGACGACGAGAAGAGAAAAUAUGGUUUAUACGUUGCUGCGGGACGCACUUAUACGUAUACGUACGAUCGGCGGGUUCAGUAACCUAUGCACCGAGAGAACGCGGAGAGAAGAUUACCGGACUGAACGGUAAUCUAGAAAGCUAGACCUACGGAGGCUCGGAGGAAAAAAUCGACCGAAUUCGUGCAGUGCGACGAACGGCUUUUCCCGCGCGCGCGAGAUCGUUAAUCAUUUCUAUACUCAGAGCCGCAAACAAUAGGCACAAACGUGUGUCCUUUCGAGAUAUCAAGGACUCCGUAUAAAGGAAAAGCAACUCUCUCGGGCGCGCGCGGCGAGAAAAAGUGAAGAAAAAGAGAAAACGCUCGGGUCAGGCCCCUUGGCUUAUCAGCAGCUCUUUAUCAGCAGUCCGGGCACACGCGCGCUGCGAGAAAAUAGGAUCGCGCGUAUGCAGGUGUCCGUACGCGCACGAGUAAGGAAAAAAAAAGGUUCAACGCACGCUACUCUCUCGGGUAUACAUACGCACGUCGGGCGAUCUUUUCACCGCAGAGCACAGUAGCGCCGGAGAUAUGUCGGGGUAGAAAGGCGCGCGCAAGGAUUGACCCAAUAACACAGAUAGGUGCUCGCGGAGCCGCCGACACCGCAAGAGAAAUUACACACUCUGCAACGCGCGCCUUUUUUUCGUCACUUUCCGAUCGCUCUUUAAAUUUCGCGCCGCGUCGUAUUGUUGUCGUUUUCCUCGUUAACGCGAGAAACGCAAAAUAUAUAAAUCAGAGAAUUCAAAAGUCGCGGUACAAUUACGCGUCGUUAAAACCUUUCGGCCAAUUACGCCGCCGUCGACGAGUCGGCUUUAGUAUACCGAGAAUUAUAAAAGAUUUAACGAGGGACGUAAGGAUUUUUCAACUUUUGCCCAACGCGCGGCGCUCAUCGAGCAUUGCUGAAGCAACAUCCUUUGUUUCGACAAAAAAGCGCGUGCAUACGUGUUAUUAUCCGUUACGAAGUUAACGGUAGGAUAAAAAUAUGCCGCCGUCACACAUACGAUAUGUCGAUCAAUUGGACUUUAUAUCGCGAAAAAAAUUUUUAAUGAGAUGAAUAACGGCGCCAAGCGGUAUAUCCACGUCGAGUUAAUAAAGGCACGAUGUUAUUCACGGCUUUUCCGCAUAUGCGAGGCAUUGAAAAUUCUCGAUUGCGCGCUUGUACAUUGUUCUGUCCCGUCGGCUUUUAUCAUCUGCUGUAUGUGUGCGUAUGUGUGUGUGUGUGUCCGCUCAUUUGAGUCAUAUUUUCGAUUAUCUCUCUCGUCGUUGUUUGGAGAAAGCUCUCUCGGGCCCAGCCCGUAUUUUCACAGCUAAUCUUCUCUCUUUCUCUCUCUCUCUCUCUCUCUCUCUCUCUCUCGGUAUCGUCAAAAUCAGUGUGUGUUUUUCAAAGCGCACAAGCUACCGUCCGUUUAUCUUCUAUUUUUAUCCGGACGGAUAUUUACCAUCGGCCGCCGCCGAUGAGGCGAUAAUCGAUUUCGCGUUAUAAUUACACCGCGCUCUCGGCGUAGUAAAUAGCCGCUCAUUCAUAGCAAAGCCGCAUCGAUGACCGGGCAUUAACAGCUGUACACGCUUAGCAAUUCAACGAGACGCGCAGCAUCUCUCGCAUUGUUGUAAAUGCUGCGCCUCUUUUAAGCUGCAUAAAUCAAGCGUACAGUAUAACGAACGACGAUCAAGUUUGAGCUAAUAACACGUGAUCGGCCGCUCUACUUUCGCUGCUACCUACUCCGAGUUUUCAUAUUCCAAAAACGCGGGCGGAGAGAGAGAGAGAGUAUAAGCUAGUCUCGCAAUCGAAGCGAAUCGAUCGCGCACACACACACGAGCUGAGGCCCUUGGGUCGAUGAGCCGUUUGAGAAACGGCCAAGUUUCGUAUACACGGCGAAUUUUUCGGGAGAAACGCGAGCAUAUGCAUGCAACGGUUUGUCGAACGCUGGAUGACAUUGAAACGCGGGAGUGGAUCGCAUGUCAACGAUCAUAUAAUGCCUCAUAGCUCGCUCUCUCUCUUUCGUGUACGAGCGUAUCCGUAAUAAUCAACAAACUCUCGUCUUAAAUUAACGGCUCUCUCUCUCUGUCUCUCCGCAUAACAGGUGCACUUCAGCAGUGCUACGGUCUUGUUCGCAUGUGCCGAUUAGCCGUAAUACGCUAAACGGCUCUCCCACGAAUUACGCCGCGACGUCACGCACAAUGACAUUACGACAGAGAGAUGAGAGAGAGAGAGAGAGAGACGCGAGAGCGCGUACCAUAUAGGAAACUUGGCUUCUCACUCUCGAGGGGGUUGCAGAUGUGGUCGCCUCUUUUUUUACAGCUGCGCACUCGAAUGCCAAGAGCCGCUCUGAGAUCUUGACUCCCCGAGCGCCUUGUUGCGGAGGAGAGAGUAUAGAGCGAUUGAAUGAGGAAAGCGAUUGAGAGAGAGAGAGAGAAGAGGGGACAAGUAGUAACGAACCGUGCGAGCCAGACGAGAGGAAAGUAGCUCUCGCGCACACGCCCGAGAAGAGAAAGACGGCGCAAGAUACCGAGGAGAGGGACACGACUCGUCGCUCGUAUAUCCGGUUGGCCGUGACUAGACCAUCGCCCAUCAAGCGAGAGAACGCGCGAGAUGCGAAGCCAGGCCCUUUCCCGAGCGCAGCUCCAUAAAAGAAGCUUCUGCAUUUUUCAAAAAAACAACUACCGCAGUGGCUCUCAUCGAUCGCCGCCUCUACACUCUCUCGCAUAUAUACUCGUACACUCUGAGCGCAGGCUGCACACGUGACCGCACAGCUCUCGCGCGCGUGUGCGAGGAAGAGAGCCGAGCCUCUCUCUCUCUCUCUUUCCUUCGCAUCAUCAUCAUCAUCAGCAGCAGCAGCGGCUGUACGGCAGUAGUAACAGACGAGCGCGCGCCGCAGCUGCCGCUCAAAACUUUUCGGCCGCGCGAGCGCGCGCACCUACAUCGCCAAUUCACACGCGAUAUCGCCCCCCGCGCGCCGCGCGACGAGAGCACAUAGCUGAGCGAGAGAAAGAGAGGCAGUAGCUGUUACUCCUUCUCCGAGCUCCGUCAGACACGCGCUGUUAUAUUCGGAGAGUCUGUGUGUGUGUGUGUGUGAGAGAGAGAGAGAGAAGCGCGUUUCCAUUCCCAGAGCGGGACACUACUUACUCCGCCGAGUGUUGUGUCCGAGGCUGUGCGCGUGUGUGUUGACGAUUUUUCGUACAUCUGUGAGGUGCAGCGACGAUGCGCAGCCUGCAGUGAUACGGGGAAAAGUGUGCAAGUGCAUCGAAAGUGCCUAUAGAGUAUAAGAUUGAAGCUGCUGUAACAACAGCCCGGAGGAGAUGGAGGUUCCAGUGGUGACGACUCAGCCGACGUCCUCGGGGCCCAGCGGCACGACGAUCUUGCUCCUGGCGAAGAUCGGCUCGAUGUUCGUGCUGGGCCUGGGCUCGCUGAUCCUGGGCAUGCUGCCGCUGAUAAUCGGCCGGUGCCGGGUGAAGAAGAGCGAGAACCGCAGGGCCAUAACGAGCGUGUCCAGCGCCUCGACGACCCUCAGCUCCGCCUCGACUCUCACCGUCCACUCGCACGACUCGACGCAAGCAUCGCGGCGCGCGACAGGCGAGGGAAAGAAAGGUGUACAAACAAAGAACAAAACCUCUCCAGGGUCUGCUGACGUCGCUGCUCCUCUGCUUCGGCGGCGGAGUCCUGCUGUUCACGACGUUCCUGCACCUGGCGCCGGAGGUCCGGGCGAGCGUCGAGCUCCACCAGUCGAACGGCCAGCUGGCCAACCUCGGCAGCCUCAGCCUCGCGGAGCUGCUCUUCUGCUGCGGCUUCUUCUUCGUCUACCUGGUCGAGGAGGCGGUCCACGCGGCCCUGACCGACAAGCCCGAGUCCUCGGAGACGCUGCUCUACCGCACGGUCUCGGUGCGCCGCUGCAACAACAACAGCGGCCACCCGAACAACAACAACAACAACAACACCAGCAGCAGCGGCACCAGCAGCGCCCAGCGCAACUCCCUGUCGGCCCAGCCGCGCGGCUGGCGCGCCGAGAGCUCCGACGCCGAGGAGGAGUGCGCGAACGAGGCCCAGCAGCAGCCGAAGCAGCUGGCGCCGAUGUUCGUGCUCUCGCAGAACGCGGCCGCGGAGCUCGAGGCCGGGGGCAAGCCGCUGGUCAAGGACAGCCUCGCCGCGGCCGCCGGCCUCGGGCACACCCACGCCGGCUCGAUGCGCAGCCUCCUCACCGUCCUGGCCCUCUCCUUCCACGCGAUCUUCGAGGGCCUGGCGGUGGGCCUCGAGCCGGCCUUCAGCUCGGUCGUCUACCUGGCCGCGGCCAUAGCCACCCACAAGCUCGUCAUCUCCUUCUGCGUGGGGAUGGAGCUCUACGUGGCCGGCGCCUCGAACCGCACGAUCCUCGGCUACCUCAGCGUCUUCUCCAUGGUCACGCCCCUGGGCAUCGGUAUCGGCCUCGCGCUCGGCCACUUCCGCAACGACAGCGAGACCCUCGGCCCGACGCCGACGAUACUCCAGGGCAUGGCAGCGGGCACCCUGCUCUACGUCGUCUUCUUCGAGGUGCUGGCCAGGGAACGGGCCAACGAGAAGAGCGGCCUGCUCCAGCUCGCGGCCAUCCUCGUCGGCUUCAUGCUCAUGCUCGGGCUCCAGCUGGCCACUGCCCACGCGCACAAUCACGGACACUCGCACAGCCAUGGCGAUGAGCACGGGGACAUCCACAAUCACGAGGGCGAACAAUUGGCAGGUGAUAAGCACAACUAUGUUUUAGGCGCUGCCAUCGAGCGAGUAACGGACAAGGUCGUCGAUGUUUUAUCGACUACUCUGACGUAACCAGCACAAGACUAUAGCAAGAAGAUGAUCGCCGACUAGAUUCUCCGCCACACAGGCCGCAUAUAGACUCAUUCAUCUUGGUCCACGCGAGGAGCACCCGCAGAGAGAGAGAGAAUUAUAUAUUUUUUAUCAGUAUACAUAAUAUAGGCAUGUUAAAACACAAAGUGCUACACAGAGGCAGAAGACGAUAUAGUACGGAGAGGAAAUGGACGCUCUGCGCGCGGAGAGAGCCGCGUGUGUUUUUGUAUAUACACGCUCGAUAGGCAAUCUAUACAUAUAGUUAUUCGACGCGACGUAGGCUUAAGCGUUACUUUUUUAUUUUAAUUUAUCUUAAUUCUACACGUGUAUUAUACGUUCUCAAUGGUUAGUCUGCGCAAGCGAACUUGUUAGUUCAACGCGUGUAUUCGAUUAUUUCGUUCUCCUUUUAAUCAUCAGAGAGUGAUAAAGUGAUAAGCAUAAGUGUCCAGUGCGUAAGUCGUUCGGAGGAGAAAUGUGAUAACGUUCACAUUGUUUUGUGCAUUUAAGAGGAUAAAAAUUUAUCGAGGCGCCUUGUGUAAAAUCAAGACUUUUUUCUUAUCGCGUUAAACUAGUGAGACGAACUAGCGAAAUAUGUCGUUACUUCUGUACUGUUACCGAAGAAAAAAGUUUAUAUUUUUACUUUCCAUGCAAUACCUUGUGUAAGAUACGUUAAUCUCUAGGAUAUUAGCUGUUAAUAAAUUACUCAACAACACGUCGUUUUCUUAUAAAGACUAUUAUAAUAUAUUAUAAAUAGAUUAUUAUACACUAUUUUGUUUAUGAAGUAUCUACAAUGAUCGGCGAUGAAAAAAAAAAUACAAAUGUAAUUUUAACGGAGAUGAAUAUAAUUUUUACGAAUCGACCAUAAUCUGUUGCAUUAGUCAGUUCUUCUUUUACAUCAUCGUCCUCUUUUUCCUAGUUCUAUUGUGAUAUUAUUUGUACAUUGUCAAAAAAAGAGCUUGAAGCUUGAUAUAGAUUUUUUAGCAAUCUA